ACCUCCACCAGCCCGCGAAGGUCGGAAUCCUUCCGCGCCAGCCGCCGCCGCAGCCCCGACACCUCGACACGGAGCUCCGCCUCGAUCUGCGGCAAUCAAUUUCUUUCUUCUCUACAGGAAGUCAGCGCUAAAAGAAGUGAGUGGAGCGUGGCCCACCUCGAGCUUCUUCUUGCCGCCUUUCUUCUCGAUGGCCUCGAGGCGAGCCCUGUAGGCGCGGUGCACCUCCUGCAGCACGGCCAGCGAGGCGGCGGGCGCGGCGCUGCGGUCGCGGCAGCUGCACUCCCCGCUCGCGCCCCCGCCCACGCUCGACGCGCGUUCCACAUCGUUCAUCUCCAUCCUCGCUCCACUGGGUUUCACUUCAUCUCAGCAACAGAUACGCGUUCUCCCUCAAGCAGGAAUCGCUCGUCCGCUGCCAGGCCCUAGUACAGCUGCUUGAGCUGCUCGUACGUGAUGAAGAAGAUGAUGUUCCAGGGCCCCAUGCGCAGCCACGUGGGCACGAAGCCCUUGUACAGCGCCAGGAAGCCUUCGCUGCGCACCGUCUGAGGACGUCCAAGGCAACAGUCACUAAGGACGGCUCACCAACAUUAAUAUACAGGAUUGUACUCGUCACUAGCUUUGUGGUAACUUCAAAACACUGUUUUAACUUGAUUUCGUUUUACAGUGAUUGACUAUAUGAAUAAACACUAUACAUCGGGAAUGGGAGCCAGAAAAGUUUCCGAACGAAAAUACAUCAGAAGCGAACAAAAUUUUGCCGCGCUCGGCUCUUGUCGGCGCUAGCGUACACCACCGCCUCCUCCC